AAGACUAUACUCUCAAGGAUCAUUUCUAUAGUUUGUUACUAAAGAAGUUUCUCUGAAUUUGUAGAGCACCGAAAUUAUUAAAAAAAAAAAAUUAAAUUCCCGGUAGGAGGAAAGUAGAUACUAACUGUGAUGUUACCCCUUGCUUAUUUCUUUGAAAUG
rnacentral:snoRNA from 1 species